UUAUGGUGACGUUUCCAUGUUGUGUUGCCGUUGACAACGCGUGCGUAACAUGUUGUGUUGCCGUUGACAACGUGUGCGUAACAUGUUGUGUUGCCGUUGACAACGCGUGUGUAACAUGUUGUGGUAGUCAAGGAUAAUUCUGCGAUUCAUUUUCAUGAUAAUACCAUAUAACGUUACCAUGAUAAUAAAACUAGUGAAAAGCGAUCAUUUAUCUGAAUAAUAGCAUACGAAUAUAUCAUUGUUGUUUGUAUCACCGCAUAUUGAUCCAAUCUGUGCACAAACACGUUUUGCCAUCCUGGUUUAAUGCCUCAAUGCCUGUCCCUUCUCUGUCAAUGUACGGGUGACCUAAACGAAGGUAGGUAGUUGUGUUAAAGUUGUGUAAAGGUGUAAUCAAUGUUGAUGUGUUCAAAGAUGUCAAGUGUACAGAAGGAAUGCCCAUCUUUGAUGUAGCGUAUCUCUGCAGAUAUAUACAAUGUAACCAGAGGACAUCAUUUGUAAAGAAGGAAUGCAUCUGGAAUGUAGCCUUGAUUCAAGGCCUCUGUGUGAUACAGCAGGAGAGCCAAAGGGAAGCCUCUGUAACCAGUCAAACGGAAGAUGGAGAGGGAAACAUAUCCAGCAUACAAAGUGUUCUUCAGUGAAAGGCCAAUGGACCAAGGUUCCCCCAAGCAUGAGGAGUCCUACCAUCUGGUCAUCCACGAGGAGACCCUCCAGCUCCGGCACCUGGUAUCCGGUGAUGUCAUACUGGAGUUGCCCUACAAGCACAUAAGGAAAUACAUUGUAACACCCAACACAUUCUCAAUAGAAGCUGGUCGGAUGUGCAUGCUUGGAGAAGGAGAGUUUCAGAUGGAAACUUGUGAAGCCCGAUCAAUUAUGGACAAGAUUAACAAACGAAAGAAAAUACUUGAAGAACGGCGCGCUAGAAUACAAGACAGUCCACGGAAAAAAGGU